rnacentral:rRNA from 1 species
GAUGAACGCUGGCGGCGUGCCUAAUACAUGCAAGUCGAGCGAACAGACGAGGAGCUUGCUCCUCUGACGUUAGCGGCGGACGGGUGAGUAACACGUGGAUAACCUACCUAUAAGACUAGGAUAACUUCGGGAAACCGGAGCUAAUACCGGAUAAUAUAUUGAACCGCAUGGUUCAAUAUUGAAAGACGGUUUUGCUGUCACUUAUAGAUGUAUCCGCGCCGCAUUAGCUAGUUGGUAAGGUAACGGCUUACCAAGGCAACGAUGCGUAGCCGACCUGAGAGGGUGAUCGGCCACCCUAGAACUGAGACACGAUCCAGACUCCUACGGGAGGCAGCAGUAGGGAAUCUUCCGCAAUGGGAGAAAGCCUGACGGAGCAACGCCGCGUGAGUGUUGAAGGUCUUCGGAUCGUAAAACUCUGUUAUUAGGGAAGAACAAAUGUGUAAGUAACUCUGCACGUCUUGACGGUACCUAAUCAGAAAGCCACGGCUAACUACGUG